CAGCCUUAGGUCGACCCGCUGAAUUUAAGCAUAUCACUAAGCGGAGGAAAAGAAACUAACCAGGAUUCCCCUAGUAACGGCGAGUGAAGAGGGAAAAGCCCAUCACCGAAGCCUGCAGCAGUUUUGUUGUUAGGCAAUGUGGUGUUAGGGUCGACUGGUUGGGUUGCCACUCCACUCGAAGUCCAGCAUUGAGUAUGGUAUCCUGGAUUUGGCCCAGAGAGGGUGAAAGGCCCGUGCGAGUGGAUGUUACAGACAUGUAAGGCAGCUCAUCAGGUCGACCUUCGAGUCGGGUUGUUUGAGAAUGCAGCCCUAAGCGGGUGGUAGACUCCAUCCAAGGCUAAAUACGUACACGAGUCCGAUAGUAAACAAGUACCGUGAGGGAAAGUUGAAAAGUACUCUGAAGAGAGAGUAAAUAGCACGUGAAGCCGUAUAGAGGUAAACGGGUGGCGUCAAGCUGCAAGCCUUGAGGAUUCAAUUGGCCUUUGUUGUGCGUUGUUUUGUGCGUGUAUCAGUCAGUGAUAGCUUGGGUAGUCCACUGGAAACGGUGGGCCUGGCCGCAAGGUCGGGAUGUACGAUUGGCACUGGUUCGCCAGUACGCUACCCGUCUGUCGGACUGGAUGGCCAAUGCAUUUCCUCUAUGGUGAACACCACGACCGGUGGUACUGCCAGUCUGGCUUGGUCAAGUUGUAGUCAGUUAGGCCUCGUGUCGGCUGGCUGCAAUCACACGCAAACUCGGUGGACGGCGAGUUGACCCUCGGGUUGAUUCGUGUUAUCGGCCACCGGUUGUGAACGGGCGUGCUCGUCGAUGGAUGCAGUCCUCGGCGGGUGGCCUGGUGGACCUUGCUGGUAUGUAUAACUGUGCAGGGCACCGGAGUUGUCGGUCUCAAUUUGCCAUUUGAUAUGCACACUGCAUGUGUGGUUGGGGCGUCAUCGCAGCCUGUCGGUGGUUAGGCGUGGCCGUCGUGUUGCCUGCGAAAAGUAGGCCCGGCGGUGGUCUGGCCCCGGUCGGUGUUGUUGGUGGCGUUCCCGUGUGCCAUUUGGUGUGGACCUGAUAGUCUGUGGUGUAGUGGUAGACCAGCCACCCGACCCGUCUUGAAACACGGACCAAGGAGUUUAACAUGCACGCGAGUCAAUGGGCACUUACGAAACCCAACGGCGCAAUGAAAGUGAASCCUCGGCUUGUUCCCGGGGUGAGGUGAGAUCCUGCUGUUACUCGCAUCUGCACUUUUGUGUGUCGCGCGUUGGACACAAAGCGCAAAGAGCAGUAGGCGCAUCACCGGCCCGUCCCAUGAUGUGGUCAUUGGUAGGUUGUGUGUCGUGGCUUCGGUCGCGGCCGCAGCUCCAGUGCGGCAUCGGGGCGGAGCUUGAGCGUGCAUGUUGAGACCCGAAAGAUGGUGAACU
rnacentral:rRNA from 1 species